rnacentral:rRNA from 1 species
UGUAAGCGUAUACCAAAGUUGUUGCAGUUAAAACGCACGUAGUCGGACUUUGGCAGUUCCGGAUGUGUGCACGUCGUGUGCGCACUUCGCGGGGAUUGCUUUUGUGGUCUUGCGUAGGAUGAGGCACUUUUAUUAGUGAACGUCCUCACGCAACCACUUUUUACUGUGAGAAAAUCAGAGUGCUCAAAGCAGGCAUUUGCCGUGAAUGUAUUAGCAUGGAAUAAUAGAAUAGGACUUGGUUCUAUUUUGUUGGUUUGUUGGGACUGAGUAAUGAUUAAGAGGGACAGUUGGGGGCAUUUGUAUUUCGGUGCUAGAGGUGAAAUUCUUAGAUUACCGAAAGACAAACUGCUGCGAAAGCGUCUGCCAAGGAUGUUUUCAUUGA